AUUAACAAAAGGAAGCUGCAUUUCGGUGGUGUGAUUUCUCUCAGCUGCACAGUUUGGCUCCUAACCAAAAGCUUCAGCCUGAUGCAAAGAUAAAGAGGUUUCAGACAACGGUUAUUGCAGUUGGAUGGCAUUUCAAGAACUGAUCUCUAUCAGACGCCUAUGCCUUGCAACUUAAACGCAGUCACGCUGUGUUGCUGUGGAGUACAAGAAAAGCCUGAAAUCAGUGCUGACUGGGACUGAACAAUUCAAUUUCCAUUUCCAAGGUGAAGAUGCAAGUGAACAGAGUGGUUCAACAAACACUUCUGAAAACCCUUGUCUUUUAGAUGAUCGUGGAACAUCCAGAUGAAAAGGGAUCUCAGGAAGCCAUCUCUACCAUCCCACUCUCUAGAGAUACGUUCAUUUUAUCUCUGUCAUUCCUGACUAAAUUUUCUCUGAUCACUUCUUAAAAAGAUUUACAAUCCCCGGGCAAUCUGACUUAAUGCAUCACUGUCCUCAUUUUUAGAAAGCUUCUCAUAAUGUCUAACUGAAGUAUUUACGCUGAAAUUGAAUGUCUUAUUAAUCUCUAAUAUCUUUGUGUUUGAAGACUCAUAUCUUCAUCACAUUUGCCUUCACUGCAGCGAGCACCUCCUUUCUCCAGCCUUCCCUUAAAGCCGUGUUUUUCCAGAGCUCCGAUCACACACAUUGCUCUCCCCUGAGCCUGAUCAGUGUUGUAUCCCUCCUGAGCACGGUGCCCCAGGCCAGACUCGUGGAGCUCCAGCUGAGUUUUGCCAAGACUGUGAAAAGUGGAAGAAUUACUCCACGUACUUUAUAGCCUCCUUUUUAUAGCCUCAUCUCAGUAUGAAGUUUGCUUUUUUUGAAACAGUAUGUAAGCUCCAGAAGGUUUCUGCAGGGCACCUCCCUACUCUUUGCUUCUCAGUCUGCUUUUGCAGUUGAUCAAACAGAAAACUUUGCAUUUUUUACUCUUUAAUAGCGUCUUACUUUUUUUUUUUCCCUAACAAUUAGUGUGCAGUGUGUGUUGUGUUCUAACCCGGCAGGUGGCUGAGCUCCACACAGCUGUUUGCUCGUUCCCCUCCUUCCGAGUGGGAAUGGAGAAGAGAACUGGAGGGAAAAAAUGUAGAACUCAUGGGUUGAGAUAAAACUAUUUACUAAGAUACAGAAAAGGAAAAGGACAAUAGUUAUGACUCUCUCUCUCUCUCUAUAUAUAUAUAUGAAUGUAUGUAACAAGAAACACAUAAGCAAUUGCACACCACCCGUCAACCAUUGCCCAACUUGCCCUCUGAGCAGCGGAAGAGGGAGGCCUUGGCUCUGUAUAACACUGUGUAGCAGCAACUAUAAACACUGGUGUGUUAUCAGCAUUGUUUUCAUCCUAGAACUAAAACCAGCAUCAUUCCAGACACUCUAAAGAAAACAAUUCCAUCCCAGCUGAAAUUUAGACAAUGUGGCAUUGCUCAUUUGAAUAUUAAACUCAUAUUUCUU
rnacentral:lncRNA from 7 species